UGGGUUAUGGCUCCGCGGUAGAGUGCUCACCUAGUAUGUGUGAGGCACUGGGUUCAAUCCUCAGCAUCACAU
rnacentral:tRNA from 1 species